CUUCCGUUAAUUGAUUAUGACGUGCUUGCACUGAAUGAGAUUUUAACACGAAGUGAGUGGCGGACGGGUGAGUAACACGUGGGUAACCUGCCCAGAAGCAGGGGAUAACACCUGGAAACAGAUGCUAAUACCGUAUAACAGAGAAAACCGCCUGGUUUUCUUUUAAAAGAUGGCUCUGCUAUCACUUCUGGAUGGACCCGCGGCGCAUUAGCUAGUUGGUGAGGUAACGGCUCACCAAGGCGAUGAUGCGUAGCCGACCUGAGAGGGUAAUCGGCCACAUUGGGACUGAGACACGGCCCAGACUCCUACGGGAGGCAGCAGUAGGGAAUCUUCCACAAUGGACGCAAGUCUGAUGGAGCAACGCCGCGUGAGUGAAGAAGGGUUUCGGCUCGUAAAGCUCUGUUGUUAAAGAAGAACGUGGGUGAGAGUAACUGUUCACCCAGUGACGGUAUUUAACCAGAAAGCCACGGCUAACUACGUGCCAGCAGCCGCGGUAAUACGUAGGUGGCAAGCGUUAUCCGGAUUUAUUGGGCGUAAAGCGAGCGCAGGCGGUCUUUUAAGUCUAAUGUGAAAGCCUUCGGCUCAACCGAAGAAGUGCAUUGGAAACUGGGAGACUUGAGUGCAGAAGAGGACAGUGGAACUCCAUGUGUAGCGGUGAAAUGCGUAGAUAUAUGGAAGAACACCAGUGGCGAAGGCGGCUGUCUGGUCUGUAACUGACGCUGAGGCUCGAAAGCAUGGGUAGCGAACAGGAUUAGAUACCCUGGUAGUCCAUGCCGUAAACGAUGAUUACUAAGUGUUGGAGGGUUUCCGCCCUUCAGUGCUGCAGCUAACGCAUUAAGUAAUCCGCCUGGGGAGUACGACCGCAAGGUUGAAACUCAAAAGAAUUGACGGGGGCCCGCACAAGCGGUGGAGCAUGUGGUUUAAUUCGAAGCUACGCGAAGAACCUUACCAGGUCUUGACAUCUUCUGCCAACCUAAGAGAUUAGGCGUUCCCUUCGGGGACAGAAUGACAGGUGGUGCAUGGUUGUCGUCAGCUCGUGUCGUGAGAUGUUGGGUUAAGUCCCGCAACGAGCGCAACCCUUAUUACUAGUUGCCAGCAUUCAGUUGGGCACUCUAGUGAGACUGCCGGUGACAAACCGGAGGAAGGUGGGGACGACGUCAAAUCAUCAUGCCCCUUAUGACCUGGGCUACACACGUGCUACAAUGGAUGGUACAACGAGUUGCGAAACCGCGAGGUUUAGCUAAUCUCUUAAAACCAUUCUCAGUUCGGACUGUAGGCUGCAACUCGCCUACACGAAGUCGGAAUCGCUAGUAAUCGCGGAUCAGCAUGCCGCGGUGAAUACGUUCCCGGGCCUUGUACACACC
rnacentral:rRNA from 1 species